rnacentral:tRNA from 2 species
AUUUGGGUAGCUUAAAUUAAAGCUUAAUUUUGAAGUAAUUAUUAUAGGAUAGUCAUAUUCCUCCCAAGUA